rnacentral:misc_RNA from 1 species
CUUUGACGGCUGCCUUUAUCAUCGUGUGGGUCAUAUGAUACUAUCAUUCAGUGGAAUAAUAAAUUUAUAAUUUACUAUCAAAUACUGUUCCUGUCAAAAUUUGGUACGUGCCUUAUAUAUGCACAAGUAAGUCAAACUAACAGCAUCCAGUAUUGAAACAGUUUUAUAUAUCGUACAACGAUGUCAUUUUUUGGAGUAAAUGUCAAUCCAUUUUCAACACCAGUAGGCCAAAAGAUAGAGCAAGCUACAGAUGGUAGUUUGCCAAGUGAAAACUGGACGCUUAAUAUGGAAAUAUGUGAUAUAAUAAAUGAAACAGAGGAUGGGCCAAGAGAUGCAAUUAAAGCAAUUAAGCGUAGACUCAAUCAAGCUGCAGGAAAGAAUUAUACUAUAGUCAUGUAUACUCUUACUGUACUAGAGACAUGCGUAAAAAAUUGUGGAAAGCGCUUUCAUGCUCUUGCUUGUUCGCGAGAGUUUAUACAAGAACUAGUUAAGUUAAUUGGACCAAAAAAUGAACCACCAACAGCAGUGCAAGAAAAAGUUCUAAGUUUAAUUCAAACAUGGGCAGAUACAUUCCGUCAUCAACCCCAUACUCAAGGAGUUGUACAGGUAUACCAAGAACUAAAACUGAAAGGUAUACAAUUUCCAAUGACAGAUUUAGAUGCCAUGGCCCCCAUUAUUACUCCAGAACGAAGCGUACCUGAAUCAGAACAAAGUGUUAUAAAUGUUUCUACGACUGAACAGCAAUCAAUAACAUCUACAACGUUACAAAAUCAGCAAUCUCAAAAUCAAUCUUCAGGACAGUUAACUCAGUUGAAUGAACAACAAAUGGCUAAAUUACAAAGUGAACUUGAUGUUGUACAAGGAAACAUGCAUGUUUUAUCAGAAAUGUUGGCAUAUUUUACCAGUUCUGAUCAAAACAAUAGCCAACAACCAGAUCCUGCUGAUUUUGAGCUCCUAACUGAACUUCAUUCUACAUGCAAAGCAAUGCAAGAACGAGUUGUGGAUUUAAUUGGAAAGUUAGCACAUGAUGAAAUGACAGCAGAAUUAUUACGCAUUAAUGAUGAGUUGAAUAAUUUAUUUUUGCGUUAUUCGCGUUACACAAAAAAUAAAGCUGUGGCUGCAAGUGCCAUUUUGGCACAAACAAUCGGUCACCCACCAAACAUGGAUACCGCUUCAUCAAAUACUAAAAAAGAAGCUGAUUCUCUUAUAGAUUUAUCAGAUGAAACUGAUACUUUAGAAAAUAAAAUUACAGGAAUGGACAUAUCUGACAAUGCAGAUAAAAAUAGGAUAGAUCGAAAAGAAAAGAAAGAAGGCGAUAGCGAUGAAUUUGAUAUGUUUGCACAGUCACGUAACACGACCUACGAAACUACAAAGAACAGUGGUAGCAAGUAUGAAGAUAAUUUGGAGCAGGUGAGCGGAGGAAGCCUCAGUACUGCGAUUCUCAACCGCAGUAAUCCUAAAUAUCCCCAACAGACUGCUUCUACAGUUGCUCCUACUACUGCUACUUCUGUGUGUAACCCCCGCUCUUACUAUAUUAAUUAUUAGAAAGCAUUUAGUUGAUAUUACUAACUAACUGAUAUAGCGUUGAUUAUUUAUUUAGUUUAAAAAGCAGUAAGUUUAAUAGAAAUUCAAGAAAGACUUUAUAUAAAUUUGAUCAUAUGAUAUUAAUAAUUUAGUUAUGAAUUUAUACAAAGAGCUUAGAAUUAUCUAUCUUAAUAGAGCUGAACCGGGAAUCUGAAUUUAAUGAAAUGGCAGCUUGGUUAGAUCAUACG